CCUCGGUGGAAGUGACAUCGCAGCGGAAGUGAAUACAGGUUCGCCUGAAGCUGAAGCUUAAGAACUGCGAUCCCGACUUCCGGAAAGGGAGUUCUGGUGAAGUGGGAGGGUGGAAAUGCUACAGGUUCAUGAAUUAUGCAUCAGUCACUUCCGCACCGAGCUAUGCAGUGAUCACUCCUCGGGGCUGCCCCAUCCCCUGGUGGUCUGCACCACAACGGGGCCUCCGAUGUGUGCCUUCUGCAUAUUGAUGAGCCACAGGGUCACGCUGUCCCUCUGAAGGGACACGGCUGAAGACAGAACAGGGGACUCAAGUAUCUUGCAAAGGCUUUAUUUGAAAAUUUUGAAACUUACAUCCCACAAGAAUUCAAGAUUAUCACCACAAGAAGAAGAAAAAGAUAAUACAAAAAUAUAUAUCACAGCAUAGGAGCCAGGUAAGAAGGGA